UUUAGACCAUUCUAAGUGCUGGGCAACCUCAACUCCUGUCUAGUUCCGAAAUAUUUCCAACGGCCCUAAAGGAAACCCCAUCCCCAACGGACGGUCCCCACCCAACUUCUUUGGACCCGCUUCUUCUGGACAAUUCAUGUAACUGGAAUCACGCCCCAAGUAUCUGGCUUCUCUCCCUGAGCAUCACGUUUCCACGAUGUAUCUACAUUGUAUCGUGUGUGACUGCUUUGUGCACUUUGUGGCUGAAUAAUUUUCUGGCUUAGGGAUGGACCACAUUUUGUCUCUCCACUCAUCUGCUGAUGGACAUUUGGGUUGUUUCCACCUUUGGCCUGUGAGGACUAGUGCUGCAAUGAUAAGCAUUUGUUUGAAUCUGUUUCCAAUGUUUUUUUUUUUUUUUUUUUUUUUUAAGUGGCCUCACGCCCAGCAUGGAGCCCAACGCAGGGCUUGAACUCAAGACCCUGAGAUCAAGAUCUGAGCUGAGAUCAAGAGUCAGAUGCUUAACCAACUGAGCCACCCAGGCGCCCCUCAAUUCUCUCGGGACCCAUUAAGGUACUGGAUGGGACGUAAUCAACUCUCCCCCGGGGUGGCCCCCAGCCACCCUUGGGACCAACGGGAAAGGCAAGUCCUGGAGACCAUGCAGCGUCUGAGCUCUGCCCUCGCCAUCCUGACUGCUGCCGAUGCACUGCGCGACCACAAGUCGGCUUCUGUUUGCAUCUCAACAUGCAAAUGUCGUGGAAAUGACAGAGGGACACGUCACAAUCGCCACACUGUCUCUGAGUACCAGGCUAUGGGAGGAGCAUAAGGUAAUGGCUUGAAAUGCGGACGCUGGCUGCACACUGCCCGCGUUCAAAUCCUGGCUCUGUCCCCCACUAGCUGUGCGGGCCCCAGGAGCCUGCUCAUCUCUGACCUCGGCCUCUUGUCCUACAAAACGGAGUGUGACAGUCGUAACCAGUUCAUGCGAGGUGCCAGACCAGGUGAGCUAUGUGAGGCUAUUUGAAUUUUAUCCUGCAGGCAAUGGGAGUCUUUGAAGGAUUGAAGACAAAAGUGGGACUUGAUCAGAUUUGCGCUUUAGAAGACCCCUAAUGGUGCAAGGGCGAGCUCCCCCGUUACCAGGGAAGCUGCCCGGUUUCCUGGUGCUGAAAUUAAGUCGGCCCCGGAAAGCCUCUGGGAGCUGUCCGGAGUCCUGGUGCUGAAGCAGAUCGCGGUUCCCUUCCUGGUCCCCGAGAGGCGCUGUCCGGAGUCUCGGUGCUGAAACAAAUAGCAAUUUCCUUCCGCGGUGGUCGAUGCAGGUGACCAGUGGCUGCCAAGGCGAGGACGUGCACUUUUAUGGGCUUUGGAGAAGGCGGGGCACCGGGAACCCGAGGAGGGGCUUCACCGGCCGGCCAAUGGGACUCCGUCUAGAAUGCAGCUCCAAAGAUUACCUCAUAGGCUGUGGUCUCGGUUUCAGAAUAAAAGUCUGGCAUCUGCCCAAAAACUGGGUUGGGGUUUUCUGGAGUUGGGAGGGGGCACUCACUAUGGUCCUCAAGGUCUCCCCACUACUCAGCCCAACCCCCUCCUAGGUCUCUCACAUCCAGUUUGGCCCAAAAGCCCUGGAUGAUACCUACAUCUCCCCAUCUCCAGCUUGUGCUAUUGCUGGAUCAGAAGAGAGAAAACUGGUAAACUGAGUUGGGGAAAAAACAGGGCAAGCUCAGAAUAUUUAAGUUCAGUUCCAGAUAGGGAAACUGAGGGAGGGCUCAGAAGAGCCUGGGGCAGAAGUGGGUCUCAAGACUAGAUCUUUUGAUUCCUCAGUUCAAAACCCAUCUCAUAACUUCGUUUAUUGUUUUACUUUACUGAGCAGGCUCUGAGUCAAAAACACAAAUCCAGACUUUUCUCCUUCUGGCUAGGACUUUGGGCACAGUCGAACCUCUCUGUGCUUCAGUUUCCUUACCGGUGAAAUGGGGAUAAUGGUAGUACCUUCUCAGAGCAUUGUGAUGAGGAAUUAGUGGUAUGGUGUGGAUGCAUGUUAGAAAUAACGCAUGUGAGCCAGGACUAGGAUAAGCAAGACACCUGCCUCAGGUGCAAAUUUAAGAAGGCACCAAAAAAAAAAAAAAAAAACCAAAAAACCCAACCCCUCCCACACCUCAGCAAUCAAGGUAAAUAAUGUUUCAAUGCAAUGUUCUAAGAAAUCAAAAUUAAUGUGUGUAAAAAGUCAACAAUGAAUAAUUUAUCAAUUUUUUAAAAUUUUUAAACAUUUAUUUAUUAUUGAGAGACAGAGAGACACAGAGAGUGAGCAGGGGAGGGGUAGACAGAGGGGGAGACAUAGAAUCGGAAGCAGGCUCCAGGCUCUCAGCUGUCAGCACGGAGCCCGACGCGGGGCUCAAGCCCACCAACUGCGAGAUCAUGACCUGAGCCGAAGGCGGUCGCUUAACCAACUGAGCCCCCCCAGGCGCCCCUAUCAAAUUUUUAAAUAAAGAUAGGAUCCACAUUACUGGAUUUUUCCUUUUGCCUCAGGGUCUAAUGCGUGGCAUGGCACCAGAAAUAAUGUAUAGACAUGGUAAGCUUUCCGAUAAUGUAGCUUAAUCACCCAACUUUUUUGUAGUCGGCAUGGGGUAGGGGUGCAUACAUGAAUUCAGCAACCAAACUUGUCCUUAGGGAGAGUGACAACCUGAAAGUAUAAGCAUACUCAGAUGCAGUCUGGUGACAAUAGAGGGAUCUGUGUCCCAGCUUGUGCUCUCCCCAGUAUGAAAGUCCCCUAAAGGGGCUGCUCAUUUUGUGGAAUCUGAACUCACAAAUGAGCUGUCUGCACAUCACCUACGGAGCCAGGAGCAUCAGAUGAGGCACCUAGCAUUUGUCAACAAAGAUGCCCAAAUCCAGAGUUAAUUCCACUGAUGCACCGGGGGAAAAGUUCAGUCAAACCCAUGGGAAGCAGGUGCAGAAACUAUAAUUCUGACACAUAGUAGAUACUCAACAAGUCCAUUGUGAAGUGUGGACUCCACUGAGUGCAUCUGAAACACUCGAAACUGCUACAUCUGUUUCCUUCUCAGAGGUCAGUUCUGGCCUCACAGUUCCUAAGGAGCACCAGGGAGCAUGCCGCAGAAGGGACAAGAAUAGAUGGGAAGGCAGCCUGGAGAUGGCUGCCUUAUUUGUUUCUUCCUUUUUUCUUUUAUUUUGGAAAAAAAAUUUUUUUCCAACCCACAGGAAAGUUGCAAGAAUCGUGCAAUGAACUUCCAUGUUAUCUUAAAAAAGAUUUUUUUUAAGUUUAUUUAUUUUGGAGAAAGACACAGAAACUGAGGUAGGUUCCAGGCUCUGAACCAUCUGGACAGAGCCCGACACAGGGCUCGAACCCGCACACCUAGAGAUCAUGACCUGAGCUGGUCGGACACUUAACCAACUGAGCCCCCUAGGCGCCCCUCCAUAUCAUCUUAAACUAGAUUCACCCAGGCAUUGGUAACAUGUUGCCACAUUUGCUUUAUCUUUGUUUAUUUCUCUACAUCUAUCUUUGUAUCUGUCCCAACCCUGUAGGUUUCAAACACAACUGCGCCUUCAUUCCCAAAUACUUCAGCAUGCACCCCCCCAAGAUCAAAGACAGUCUCCUACGUAACCCGAAUGUAAUGAUCACAACCGAGAAGUUAAAACUGUUACAACGCUACUGUCUAACCCCCGACCCACGUUCCUGCCUCACCCAUCUCCUGAGACUGCGUUUUAGGGCAUUUCUUCCCAAGCUGGGAUCCAAGUCAGGAUUGGGCACAGCAUUUCGUCGUCCUGUGUGUCCCAUCUCUACCGCAGAGAGGUGGGUCACAAGAUGAUUCUUAGACCCUAGGAUUCGCCUCUCAGUCCUGGGAUCAGGCUUCCUCACUGUCCUCCCUGUGGGUGUCCACUCUACACCGUGUCUGGCCCCCCUUAUUUACAACGAGAGUUUGUUUAGAGGACUUCUUAAGUCUCUUUCUCCUCCAACAUUCUGGAAAGACAUAGCCAGAUGUACGCACCCCCAAGCCUACUUUAUGAAUUCAUUCGUGCUGCAAAAAAAAAUUUUUUUUUAAAUGCCUGCUAUGUGCUAUGUGGGAAUCCAGCAGGGAACCAAGCUGAUGUGAUUUCUGUCUUCCAUUUAGUGCAGAAGACAGAUGAUAAGCAAGCAAACAAAUAAAGGAACAAGGUGACCUCACACAGCAAUGACGGCUAGGAAGAUAAUAGAUCAGGAAGGU